UGAUAUUUCUUUCUAAUUAAAAGAAUGUUUUACCAUAUUCAUUCAUUCUUUCUGUGAAAUUUAUUUUCAGACGUAUCCUACUUACCAAAAUUCACCAUGGCAGGUCAUCACUGGAUAUCAGUUGCCUGUAUAUAAUUAUCAGAUUCCACUACAUUGGCCUGUUGGGGAGCAAAGGAGUUACGUUGUACCUCUGGCAUAUUCUACUUAUCCAGAUUCACCAGUUCAGGUCAUCACUGGACAUCAGUUGCCUGUAUAUAAUUUUCAGAUGCCACCACAGUGGCCUGUUGGAGGUCAAAGGAGGCGUAUCCUACUUAUCCAAGUUCACCAGGUCAGGUCAUCACUGGAUACCAGUUGCCUGUAUAUAAUCACCAGGUUAAAAGAGUGCAUCGUUUUAGAAGAAGUUGGGCAGUAUUUAAAUCUGUUUGAUCUUCUCGGCUAUCUAGUUUCAUGAGAAGUUGCUGGUUUUGAAUAUUAAGCUAAAAGUUUUCCACUAUUAUAGAAGUUCUGAAUUUUGGUAAAUCACACUGAAACUUUCUGUAUAAGUUGUAUUAUUCAAAUCUAGUUUUAUCUUACAUUGAAACUGUUCUUCAUUAGAUAUUUAUUUAGAACCUGGUUCUGUGUUGAAUAUAUUGCAGAAAGGAGAAUAAUUGAGACUGAAAGUAAGUUAAGAUUUAUCUGCAAAGAUUUUUAAAAAGUUGAAAUUUGCACUUUAAGUGUUAAAAAGGAAAUACUGAUUUUCAAAAAAAAAUUUUUUUUUAAAUCAAAUUUGAAAGACAAGAAUUUUGAUAGUCUGAAUACAAGCAUUUCAUUUUCCGAGUACCUGUGAACAGUACAGUAUUUACAGUAUUGAGUUAUGCAUUUAUGAUUUAUCUAGAAAUUUACCACAAAAGCAGAAUUUUUAAAAUAGUAUUUUUAAUCAGUGGAACUCAAUAUAUAGUUAGCUUUAUUGAAGUUUUCUUAUCUAAACCCAGUAAAACAGACUCCAAGCAAACAGUCCAAUCAGUGAGUCAUACAUAUGUUUAUUAAAAAUAUUUUAUCUUUUAUCUAGAAUCUACACAUAUGUAUCCAAUUUGAUUGAGAUAGUAAUUAAGAUAACUAAAAUUCUGGGCCCAAUUUUUUAAAGAAUCCAAGACAAACUAAACUUUACUAACAAACUAAACUCUUUCUCAAGGAGUUACCAUUCUUUUUUGUAAAAACAUUGUUCUUUGAAAUGCUAAACUUAAUGACUGUAUGUCAAAUUGUGCAAAAACAGGUAUUAAAGAAUGCUGUAACUUUUUUAUGUCACUCAAAGGUUAAUUAGAGUAUCCGAAAGAAAUUGUUUUUAUAAAAACAUUGAAGUAUUAGUUACUUGCUAUAGAUUUUUAUUUUUUAACCUGUUAUGUUUCCUUUUGUAAAGUAAAAUAUGUCCAGAAGAGUCAAAGUAGGUAGUUUUAAUAUUUCUAAACCACGCAAGUUGUUUAGUUAUAUAUAACUGUAACUGUAUAUGAGGUUGUUUAGUAAGUGUAUCUUAAGAACAUGCUAGAAUUCUUAACUGAGUAAGUUAACGUUUCUAGAUUAGCAGGUGUCCUCAUUUUACAUUGUGACACACAGCUGGAGCCCCAGAGCUCUUUUGCUAUACCCACAGUCUUUUUUUCCCCACCUUUUUUACUAAUCUUUUAGGAGGUGUGCUCUUAGAACUGGUGAUCUAGAGAAUAGAAGUAGCUGUAUGAGCAGUUCAAGGGCCAAGCCCUGGAACGGUAGGAAUGGGAUAUAAUACCUUUCUAAAGGAAACAGUUGUGUCUAUAUCAUUUGAUCUGCCAUGGACAUGAGUUUUAAGUGGCUUUCUGGCCCUUCUUUCAAUGGCUUCAUCCCUAAAACAUGGAGACUCUAAAUUAAUGUAGUUACUAUGGGCCAUAUUACUAGUGCCCACUGGGGUCUAUGAUUUCUCAAAAUUUUCAUUCUGAAUCUGAAGGAAAGAGUCUUUUAACUUUAGAAUUCCCAAGAGGGCUUUAUUACACCUGAGAAAUUGAAAGCACUAUUUGUCUAUUAAAAAAUUACCUGUAGCUUUUUAGUGCUUUGACAUUCUGACAUAUAUCAUUCUGUGAUUGUCUCCAGAUUUCUAUAAAUGAUACCUAUAUUCUAAAGAGCUAGUUGUAAUUAUUCCAAUACGACCUUAAGGAAAAGUUAGGGAAUCAAUGUUUGCCUUUGUUGGAGUGAGGUAUUUAAAAGAGUAAGGUAAAAGUGAUAAAGUCCUGAACCUUUAAAAAUGGAAAAUUAAUUCUAAACUUAGAUAUUUCUUACAUAUUUGUUUCUGUUACCUAUUGCUGAUACUGUCUUUGCAUAAAUGAAUAAAA
ensembl:lincRNA